GCAAUGGCGGCAGUAGCAGGAGCUCUUCUCCCGCCGCUGCUACCGACGCCGCCCAGGAGCGAGAUGCUGCCGAUCCUCCCGACGCCGCCCAAGAGCAAGAUGCUGCCGCUGUUGCCGACGCCGCACGGUGUCGUCCUCACCAUGCUGGUGUCCGCCAUGCAUGGCCGCGCCGACUUCGUCCAGAGGUGGGACUGGAACAAGACGGGCAAAAAGCCAUGCAGCUCCAUCUGCUCCUCCUCGUCAUCGUCGGGCAGCGAGAGCACCGGUCGUGCCGACUCCGUCGACAGGUGGGACUCGGACAAGAAAUACAGGAAGCCCCGCACCACCAUGUCGUCCUCGUCGUCGUCCUUGGCAUCGUCUUAUAGCGCCGGGAGCCCUGGACGCGCCGACUCCGUCGAACGCUGGGACAGCAAGAAACUCGCUACCUCGUCCCCGCCCACAGGUCGCGGCUGUCAUGACCGCAACAACAAGCGCCUGCCUAGCCCUGGCCGCGCGUCCUCGGCGGAGCGCUGGGACUUGCACAAGAAGCCUCGUCCAGAGCACAAGCCUCAGACUAACGCGACGGCCACGGCACCGCAGAAGUCCAUGUUCGCCGGGUCCAGCUUCUACGCCUCGCCGGACCCGAGCAUGCUCCCCAUGCCCUCCUUUCUGCUGAAA
rnacentral:rRNA from 1 species